UACGAAGGGGGCUAGCGUUGCUCGGAAUCACUGGGCAUAAAGGGUGCGUAGGCGGGGCUUUAAGUCAGAGGUGAAAUCCUGGAGCUCAACUCCAGAACUGCCUUUGAUACUGAGGAUCUUGAGUCCGGGAGAGGUGAGUGGAACUGCGAGUGUAGAGGUGAAAUUCGUAGAUAUUCGCAAGAACACCAGUGGCGAAGGCGGCUCACUGGCCCGGUACUGACGCUGAGGUGCGAAAGCGUGGGGAGCAAACAGG
rnacentral:rRNA from 1 species